rnacentral:rRNA from 1 species
UACAGAGGUCUCAAGCGUUGUUCGGAUUCAUUGGGCGUAAAGGGUGCGUAGGUGGCGGGGUAAGUCUGGUGUGAAAUCUCGGAGCUCAACUCCGAAACUGCACUGGAUACUGCCUUGCUCGAGUACUGGAGAGGAGAUUGGAAUUUACGGUGUAGCAGUGAAAUGCGUAGAUAUGCGGAGGAACACCGAUGGCGAAGGCAAUCCCCUGGACCUGUACUGACGCUCAUGCACGAAAGCGUGGGGAGCAAACAGG